AGAGUUUGAUCCUGGCUCAGAGCGAACGCUGGCGGCGUGCUUAACACAUGCAAGUCGAACGCGCAGCAUUCUGUAGCAAUACAGGGUGUGGGCGCGUGGCGAACGGGUGCGUAACACGUGGAUAACCUUCCUUCAGGUGGGGAAUAACCCAGUGAAAACUGGGCUAAUACCGCAUAACAUGACGAUGGCACAUGCUGUUGUCUUCAAAGGCGCAAGUCGCCAGAAGAGGGAUCCGCGGCCGAUUAGCUUGUUGGCGAGGUAAUGGCUCACCAAGGCAUUGAUCGGUAGCCGGACUGAGAGGUUGGCCGGCCACACUGGAACUGAGACACGGUCCAGACUCCUACGGGAGGCAGCAGUGGGGAAUCUUGCACAAUGGACGAAAGUCUGAUGCAGCAACGCCGCGUGGGGGAUGAAGCUUCUCGGAGUGUAAACCCCUUUCGACCCGGAAG
rnacentral:rRNA from 1 species